rfam:Picea glauca, whole genome shotgun sequence.
ACAUGCCAACAACAUACAAUUAAUGCAUCGGAUCCCAUUUGAACUCUGCAAUUAAGCGCGUUCAGGCUAGAGGAGUAUUGGGAUGGGUGGCUGCCUGAGAUGUCCUAGUGUUUUAUAUGCC